UCAGUACCCACUCAUCUCACCGUUUGUGCAAGCCAAUGGUGGGUGGUUUUGAGGAAACAUCUCCUCUAAUGUAGUACGCUUGCGAACCUUUAUACCGAUCAUAACGUGAUAAAAUCUAUUCGUUACCGUGAGGUCGGAGGCCGCCUGAAAUCAAACUGUAGUUUGACCUCAGAUCAGACAAGGAUACCCGCUGAACUUAA
rnacentral:misc_RNA from 1 species